UACGGAGGGUGCAAGCGUUGCUCGGAAUUAUUGGGCGUAAAGGGUAGGUAGGUGGUCUCGUUUGUCUGGGGUGAAAGCCUUGAGCUUAACUCAAGAAGUGCCCCAGAAACGGCGAGACUAGAGUUCUGGAGAGGGUCGUGGAAUUCCCGGUGUAGCGGUGAAAUGCGUAGAGAUCGGGAGGAACACCAGAGGCGAAGGCGGCGACCUGGACAGAUACUGACACUCAACUACGAAAGCGUGGGGAGCAAACAGG
rnacentral:rRNA from 1 species